CGCAGCCCUCUGCCGGUUCCGGCUGAGCUCCUUGAUCUUUGCCUUCUCUUCACCACUAUGUGAGAUCGCUCCUUUCUUUUAUUUUUUCCCCUCUCUCAUAUGAUAUUUUCUUGUCCUCCACUUAACAUGUACAAGUCUUGGUGCAACUUCAUUUCAAGACCUUGCUAAUACUCCAAAGUGAAUUUAUUGUAUUCCCAAUUCCAUUCAGUCAUGACUCUUAACUCGUAUAAUCACAUACCCAAGCUAAAAAAGAUCAACUUCUUGGUUUUUCUUUGACUAUAGAUGACUUGAAGUUCAGACUUUCUAGGGUUUUUGUGUCUUCAUAGCUCUUAGCUUUAGGGUUUUCAGGAUUUGCUUCAUUUUUUUGGUUGUUUGCCUUAGGUGGGCUUUCUAAGAGAUGGAGGACUAUAAUCAAAUGAAUGAGAACGCCAAUCCAAGGGGGAAUUUCUUGUAUGCUUCACCAGUUCUUGCACCCAAUUCUUCUCCCUAUGCGAGAACAAGUAGUGGCUCUAACGUGAGCAAUCAGCAGACCCAGACGCCUUUAAGUCCUUUCCAUCUUCAAUCAAGUGAAUGUUUCCAAUCUGAAGGACAUCCUAUAGUGAAGACAGAAGCCAGCACUUCCCAGCAUGCUCCAAAAUUUCACUAUCCUUUGUUGAGAGGCCAUCAAACACUUAAUCAACAUCAAGGGAAUGAAAGCUCCGGUGAAGUGGAAGCUAUCAAAGCCAAGAUCAUAGCCCACCCUCAGUACUCUAACCUUUUGGAAGCCUACAU
rnacentral:misc_RNA from 1 species